GACGAACGCUGGCGGCGUGCUUAACACAUGCAAGUCGAACGGAAAGGCCCUGCUUUUGUGGGGUGCUCGAGUGGCGAACGUGUGAGUAACACGUGAGUAACCUGCCAUUGACUUUGGGAUAACUUCAGGAAACUGGGGCUAAUACCGGAUAGGAGCUCCUGCUGCAUGGUGGGGGUUGGAAAGUGUCGGCGGUUGGGGAUGGACUCGCGGCUUAUGAGCUGGUUGGUGGGGUAGUGGCUUACCAAGGCUUUGACGGGUAGCCGGCCUGAGAGGGUGACCGGCCACAAUGGGACUGAGGUACGGCCCAGACUCCUACGGGAGGCAGCAGUGGGGAAUAUUGCACAAUGGGCGGAAGCCUGAUGCAGCAACGCCGCGUGCGGGAUGACGGCCUUCGGGUUGUAAACCGCUUUCGCCUGUGACGAAGCGUGAGUGACGGUAAUGGGUAAAGAAGCACCGGCUAACUACGUG
rnacentral:rRNA from 1 species